GACGGAUGGCGCGCGGGGCUCGGCUCGUUUCCUCACGCAGCGUGGCUCGGCUCAGCGGCAGCGCCCGGCUCUGUUUUCUUCGCUCUCUUUUUUUUUCGGAGCUCUGGAGAUGCGCCGCAGAUCCAUUGCCGGAGCCGCCGCAGUUCCCAUCACCAGAGCCGCCGCGUCCCCUGCUCCCGGCGGUGCCACCGCUCCCGCGCGCCCGAGCCGGCUCCUCCCCGUCGCCCGUCACAUCUGCCUCCCCGCCGGGCCGGCCUCCCCGUCGACCACGCUGACUCCGCCCGGCGGCCCAGCGCCGCGUCGGCCGCGGCUGCUUCCCUCCGCCACUGCUGCCCCGCCCGCAGCCGGGCGUGGCCGCUGCUGCCUCCCCGUCCAGCUGCCAUCCCUGUCCGCCAUCUGUUUGCUGCCUUUGUUUGCCGAAUUGGUGCCUUCCAUUGAUGUGGUUCCAAGUUCAGGUUACCAAGCAGUUACCUCCAGCUGGGAAGCGGGAGGCAUGAGGCACCCAACGCAUUGGCCAAGAUGGUGGUGACACCAUGAAGUCUGUCCGUCGGCAAGGAAGAGAGAAGAAUGUAACUGGCCCGACAUGACAUGAACUAGGGACGCGGCAGCGAUGAAGCCUCUUGUGCCAGUCUAUAUGAUAUUGGUGAAGAUUUAUUUUUCUCGUGCCUCUGUUUGCUACCUCUGUUUGCUGAAUUGGCCAGGUCCAUUGAUGUGGUUCCAAGUUUAGGUAACAAUGGAUCACAGAUUUUUGGCAUAGGCAGCAUGUCCUUGUCGCCUGUGUCUUGGUUGCUGGUCACAAUCAGAUGUUCAAUUGUUCAACUUAUGACUGCAAAUUGUGUCUUAGUUGUUAGUUAAAUUUUACAUGAUUGAUCACUUCAGACAUGAUGAGGCAGGCUAACAGUCUGAUGUAUAUAGUGUAGGUUUCAAAUUGUACAAUGUAUGGAUGUACUACAAAAGAGAGAUUAUUCUGAAAUAAAUAUGGUUGUUCUUGAACA